rnacentral:rRNA from 1 species
UACGUAGGGCGCAAGCGUUAUCCGGAAUUAUUGGGCGUAAAGAGCUCGUAGGCGGUUUGUCGCGUCUGCCGUGAAAGUCCGGGGCUCAACUCCGGAUCUGCGGUGGGUACGGGCAGACUAGAGUGAUGUAGGGGAGACUGGAAUUCCUGGUGUAGCGGUGAAAUGCGCAGAUAUCAGGAGGAACACCGAUGGCGAAGGCAGGUCGUCUGGCGAGUAACUGACGCUGAGGAGCGAAAGCGUGGGGAGCGAACAGG